UGCUAUCGAGAUGGGACUAAGGUAUGCUAGUCGAACGACCAGAACUAUGUCUGGAAGUGGCACACUGCUCAGUAACACGUAGCUAACCUACCCUUAGGACGUGGAUACCCCCGAGAAAUUGGGGUUAAUCCGCGAUAGGUGUAAUGUCCUGGAAUGGUAUUACGCCUAAAGGUGUAUCAUACAUGUUUGAUAUACGCCUAAGGAUGGGGCUGCGGCCGAUCAGGCUGUUGGUGAGGUAAUGGCUCACCAAACCUUUGACCGGUACGGGCCAUGAGAGUGGUAGCCCGGAGAUGGACACUGAGACAAGGGUCCAGGCCCUAAGGGGCGCAGCAACCGCGAAACCUCCACAAUGCACUCACGUGCGAUGGGGCUAUCUCGAGUGCCACCUGAUGAAGGUGGCUUUUCCUAGGUCUUCAAAGCCUUGGGAAUAAGAGGGGGGCAAGACUGGUGUCAGCCGCCGCGGUAACACCAGCCCCUCGAGUGGUGGGGAUGAUUAUUUGGCCUAAAGCGUCCGUAGCCGGCCGAGCAAGUCUUCCGUUAAAUCCAGCGUCUCAAGCGUUGGACUGCGGGAGAUACUACACGGCUAGAGAGUGGGAGAGGUCAGCGGUAUUCUGGGGGUAGGGGCGAAAUCCUUUGAUCCCCGGAGGACCACCAGUGGCGAAGGCUGCUGACUAGAACACGUCUGACGGUCAGGGACGAAAGCUGGGGUAGCGAACCGGAUUAGAUACCCGGGUAGUCCCAGCCGUAAACGAUGCAUGCUAGGUGUUGGGUUGGCCACGAGCCACCCCAGUGCCGCAGGGAAGCCGUUAAGCAUGCCGCCUGGGAAGUACGAUCGCAAGAUUGAAACUUAAAGGAAUUGGCGGGGGAGCACCACCAGGCGUGAAGCCUGCGGUUUAAUUGGAGUCAACGCCGGA
rnacentral:rRNA from 1 species